GAUGAACGCUGGCGGCGUGCCUAAUACAUGCAAGUCGAGCGAACGGACGAGAAGCUUGCUUCUCUGAUGUUAGCGGCGGACGGGUGAGUAACACGUGGAUAACCUACCUAUAAGACUGGGAUAACUUCGGGAAACCGGAGCUAAUACCGGAUAAUAUUUUGAACCGCAUGGUUUAAAAGUGAAAGACGGUCUUGCUGUCACUUAUAGAUGGAUCCGCGCUGCAUUAGCUAGUUGGUAAGGUAACGGCUUACCAAGGCAACGAUGCAUAGCCGACCUGAGAGGGUGAUCGCCCACACUGGAACUGAGACACGGUCCAGACUCCUACGGGAGGCAGCAGUAGGGAAUCUUCCGCGAUGGGCGAAAGCCUGACGGAGCAACGCCGCGUGAGUGAUGAAGGUCUUCGGAUCGUAAAACUCUGUUAUUAGGGAAGAACAUAUGUGUAAGUAACUGUGCACAGCUUGACGGUACCUAAUCAGAAAGCCACGGCUAACUACGUG
rnacentral:rRNA from 1 species